rnacentral:sRNA from 1 species
UUUAGAACGAAAGACGAUGGCACUAA